AUUGAACGCUGGCGGCAGGCCUAACACAUGCAAGUCGAGCGGAUGAAGGGGGCUUGCUCCUGGAUGCAGCGGCGGACGGGUGGGUAAUGCCUAGGAAUCUGACUGGUAGUUGGGGAUAACGUCCGGAAACGGGCGCUAAUACCGCAUACGUCCUGAGGGAGAAAGUGGGGGAUCUUCGGAGCUCACGCGAUCAGAUGAGACUAGGUCGGAUUAGCUAGUUGGUGGGGUAAAGGCGUACCAAGGCGACGAUCCGUAACUGGGCUGAGAGGAUGAUCAGUCACACUGGAACUGAGACACGGUCCAGACUCCUACGGGAGGCAGCAGUAGGGAAUAUUGGACAAUGGGCGAAAGCCUGAUCCAGCCAUGCCGCGUGUGUGAAGAAGGUCUUCGGAUUGUAAAGCACUUUAAGUUGGGAGGAAGGGCAGUAAGUGAAUACCUUGCUGUUUUGACGUUACCAACAGAAUAAGCCCCGGCUAACUUCGUG
rnacentral:rRNA from 1 species